CAAAUUUGUUAAUCUUUUUAAAGAACCAAGUUUUAGGUUCAUUGAUACUCUCUCUUGUUUUUCUAUUCUCUAUGUCAUUUAUGUUUCCCCUAAUCAUUAUUUCCUGCCUCCUCCUUGCUUUGGCUUUAGACUGCUUUUCAUUUUCUGGUUAUGUAAGACAUACAAUUAGAUUUUCUAUUAAUAUCAUUCUUUUUAAAAGUGUUUAGAGCUUAAAUGUUCCUUCUGACCACUGCUUUUAUUGCAUCCAUAAAUUUUGGAUAUUAUAUUUUAUUUUUAUUCAUUGUAGAGUAUUUUCUACACUUCACGGCACUGGGACCUGGGCUAGAGGGCAGGGCAUCAGCUGUGGAGCAACAUGAGCAGGACCCCACCUCAGACGACACCAUGAACUCGUUCCUGGAAAAGUUCCAGAGCCAGCCUUACCGUGGCGGCUUUCAUGAGGAACAGUGGGAGGAGGAAUUUGAAAAAGUCCCCCUGUUUAUGAAGAAAGUGCCAUCAGAAAUUGAUCCCAGGGAGAAUCCUGACUUGGCUUGUCUCCAGUCAAUUAUUUUUGAUGAGGAGCUUUCUCCAGAAGAACAGGCCAAGACCUAUAAAGAUGAGGGCAAUGAUUAUUUUAAAGAAAAAGACUACAAGAAAGCUGUGAUUUCCUACACUGAAGGAUUAAAGAAGAAAUGUGCAAAUCCUGAUUUGAAUGCUGUCCUUUAUACCAACCGGGCAGCAGCACAGUACUAUCUGGGCAAUUUUCGUUCUGCUAUCAGUAAUGUGACAGCUGCCAGAAAGCUAAAAUCCUGCUACCUCAAAGCAAUAAGAGGUGCUUAUGCCAUCUGGAACUGAAAUACUUUGCCAAGGCUGUGAACUGAUGUGAUAAGGGACUGCAGAUAGAUGCCAAAGUGAAGAAGCUUCUGGAAAUGAGGGCUAAAGCAGACAAGCUGAAGCAAAUUGAACAGAGGGAUGUGGGGAAAUCCAACUUGAAAGAAAAGGAGAGGAAUCAGAAUGAGGCUUUACUCGAGGCCGUCAAGGCUAGGAAUAUCAGGUUGUCUGAAACUACCUGUGAGGAUGAAAUUUCAGCCUCAGAAGGGGAGUUUUUCCUGGAGGAACUCAGCUCUGAGAACCCCCAUGGAGCCAGGUUGAAUCUAGAUAACCAGGGCAGGCUGAGCUGGCCUGUGCUCCUUCUGUACCCAGAGUAUGCCCAAUUGGACUUCAUCUCUGCCUUUCAUGAGGACUCCAGGUUUAUUGAUCAUCUAAUGGUGAUGUUUGGUGAAACACCUUCUCGGGACCUAGAGCAAAAAUAUUGUUCUGAUAAUUUGGAGGUCUACGUUGAGGAUGAGGACAGGGCAGAACUGUACUGGGUGCCUGCCAAGGGCACCUUGCUGCAGGUUCUACAGCACCACAGGUACUUUGUAAAAGCCCUGACACCAGCAUUUUUGGUCUGUGUAGGAUCCAAACCUUUUUGAAAGAAUUAUCCUGGGGAAGAAAGGUGCACCAGAUAAGAUGACUGAGCCAGGCCCCCUGGAUCUCCUCCCUUACCCUCCUCUGCUGGGAACCUAGCACGCCUGAAUCAGUCCAGUGCCUUAUUUCUGUCACCAAGGGGAUAGUCCUUCCUAGUAUCGUGGUGGGGGAGGAGCCUCUGGUUUCCCUAAACUGCAGCCUCUCUGGCUGGUCUUCACUUUCUUCAGUUGAUAUAAAAUUCUGUGCCUUGGCCAUGACAUCCUUGGAUUCCAUCUCUAAAGGGACCAUCUGCUGCAGUUACCAUGGCAACUGACCUGAGCAGCACCCUGGUCUGUGGAGAUGGACUCAGGAUCCAGUGACAUGAUUCUGAACUUUUGUGGAGUUUGACAUCUUGUUACAGAAGCUACCCUUCAAACUGCACAUCUACACACAAACAAACUAUGCAUAGGAUUCCAAGGCUUUAAAGCUGAGAGACUCUGGCCUCAAGUUAUUUCAUGAACACAGAGGGGAGCCAUGUGUGGUCACUGUAGAUGACUUGAGGUGAAAUGGAGGCAGGAAAGCCACAUCCUGCUCUCCAUUUAUAAAGACCGUACAAACUGAGAUCCUUGGUACCCCUAAAAGGAUUGCCAGUUUCCUUCAUCUUUGCCAUGUGGAGGACUGUGACAGACUAGGACAGUGGCCUCUGAGUUCCCCUGUAGUUUUCACAUUUUGAGAUUUUGUGUCUUUUAAACUGGAAAACCUUCUAGCAUGUUGGGUUGUUGUUAUAGGGUAUAUCUUUGUCUGCA